GAGGAGGUAUUGACUUUUUAAAAGUAUUUUUAUUGUCUUUCUUACUAAUUAUUAGUGAAAGUAUAAAACACACACAUGUAAACUAUGUAAAAUGUACAAGCCUUUAGUGAAAUAGCAAUUAGCGAAAUGCAAUAAUGAUCACAGUUAAUAUUGACUCUCUCACUCUCUCUCUCUCUUUCUCUCUGUUUCUCUCUGCCUCUCUCUGUCUCUCUCUCUCUCUCUCUCUCUAUAUAUAUAUAUAUAUAU